rnacentral:rRNA from 1 species
CAGGCUUAACACAUGCAAGUCGAGGGGCAGCAUGGUCUUAGCUUGCUAAGGCCGAUGGCGACCGGCGCACGGGUGAGUAACACGUAUCCAACCUGCCGUCUACUCUUGGACAGCCUUCUGAAAGGAAGAUUAAUACAAGAUGGCAUCAUGAGUCCGCAUGUUCACAUGAUUAAAGGUAUUCCGGUAGACGAUGGGGAUGCGUUCCAUUAGAUAGUAGGCGGGGUAACGGCCCACCUAGUCUUCGAUGGAUAGGGGUUCUGAGAGGAAGGUCCCCCACAUUGGAACUGAGACGCGGUCCAAACUCCUACGGGAGGCAGCAGUGAGGAAUAUUGGUCAAUGGGCGAGAGCCUGAACCAGCCAAGUAGCGUGAAGGAUGACUGCCCUAUGGGUUGUAAACUUCUUUUAUAAAGGAAUAAAGUCGGGUAUGGAUACCCGUUUGCAUGUACUUUAUGAAUAAGGAUCGGCUAACUCCGUGCCAGCAGCCGCGGUAAUACGGAGGAUCCGAGCGUUAUCCGGAUUUAUUGGGUUUAAAGGGAGCGUAGAUGGAUGUUUAAGUCAGUUGUGAAAGUUUGCGGCUCAACCGUAAAAUUGCAGUUGAUACUGGAUAUCUUGAGUGCAGUUGAGGCAGGCGGAAUUCGUGGUGUAGCGGUGAAAUGCUUAGAUAUCACGAAGAACUCCGAUUGCGAAGGCAGCCUGCUAAGCUGCAACUGACAUUGAGGCUCGAAAGUGUGGGUAUCAAACAGGAUUAGAUACCCUGGUAGUCCACACGGUAAACGAUGAAUACUCGCUGUUUGCGAUAUACGGCAAGCGGCCAAGCGAAAGCGUUAAGUAUUCCACCUGGGGAGUACGCCGGCAACGGUGAAACUCAAAGGAAUUGACGGGGGCCCGCACAAGCGGAGGAACAUGUGGUUUAAUUCGAUGAUACGCGAGGAACCUUACCCGGGCUUAAAUUGCAGAUGAAUUACGGUGAAAGCCGUAAGCCGCAAGGCAUCUGUGAAGGUGCUGCAUGGUUGUCGUCAGCUCGUGCCGUGAGGUGUCAGCUUAAGUGCCAUAACGAGCGCAACCCUUGUUGUCAGUUACUAACAGGUUCUGCUGAGGACUCUGACAAGACUGCCAUCGUAAGAUGUGAGGAAGGUGGGGAUGACGUCAAAUCAGCACGGCCCUUACGUCCGGGGCUACACACGUGUUACAAUGGGGGGUACAGAGGGCCGCUACCACGCGAGUGGAUGCCAAUCCCAAAAACCUCUCUCAGUUCGGACUGGAGUCUGCAACCCGACUCCACGAAGCUGGAUUCGCUAGUAAUCGCGCAUCAGCCACGGCGCGGUGAAUACGUUCCCGGGCCUUGUACACACCGCCCGUCAAGCCAUGGGAGCCGGGGGUACCUGAAGUGCGUAACCGCGAGGAGCGCCCUAGGGUAAAACUGGUGACUG